rnacentral:rRNA from 1 species
UACGGGGGGUGCAAGCGUUAUCCGGAUUUACUGGGUUUAAAGGGUCCGUAGGCGGUUUGGUAAGUCAGUGGUGAAAGCCCAUCGCUCAACGGUGGAACGGCCAUUGAUACUGCUAGACUUGAAUUAUUAGGAAGUAACUAGAAUAUGUAGUGUAGCGGUGAAAUGCUUAGAGAUUACAUGGAAUACCAAUUGCGAAGGCAGGUUACUACUAAUGGAUUGACGCUGAUGGACGAAAGCGUGGGUAGCGAACAGG